AAAAUUUUUUGUCUAUUUUGGAGGUUAAUUAAACAUUGUUUCAAAAUAUAGAACAGAUAGGAAAGAACCGGUAAGUAGGAGAGUGAUAUGUGAAGAAAGUAUAGAUAUGAAAACGUAUUUUUGGUAAGAAAGGUUAAAAAGAAAAGAUAAUAAUGUUAUAUGAGAAAAAACUUUAUAUGGUAAAUUUGUGUCCUAAGGUAAAAUUUAAGAGAGCAAAAGUAUAGGAUAAAGCAGAAAUUUCAAGCAUAUUGUCUAUGGUACAUAUUGUCAGAGUACGUUGUGAUAAGGUUUGUGAAAAGAAAAUUUAUGAAAGGAAAUUUGCAUGUGAUCAGGUUGGCUAUAAUUAAAGGAAAUUACUUAUAAGUCUUUCUAAAGAUUGAGCUUUGAUAUUAAAUUAUACUAAUACAAAACUAAAAUUUUGGUUCCCUAUGUUAGAAUAAAGCAAGUUUUUCAUCAACUAUCAAUUUGCUUUUAGUAAAAUUCAGAGGUUCUGAAUUUUUAAUUCUGAAAUCUGUAUCUUUUAAAACUUCUCAGACUUAUAUCUCGGAAGUUCAACUUUUACUGUACCUUGCUGCAUGUGAUUUGCAGGUCACAUGUGAUUGCCUUCUGUUUUUUAAUCCCUGGGAAAGGUACAUCUUUUUGCUUGGCUGGGAUGGUAACUCUGUCCUUCAAUGUUUUUAUCAAUUCCUGUAACUUUUGUUCUGGUUCUAACACUGAUGUUGUGGCCUGACACUGAAAUGUUUUAUCUUGAAGGUGUAGAAAAGCAAUGUUUUCCUUCAGUAUAACUUGAUUCUGUACUCUUGGGUUUUCUUUAUAGGUCUGCAUUGUUCAGUAUAACCAGGAAACAUCCAUGUUGUUACUAAGAGUCCCUACUUUGUGUCCCUACACAAGAUAUUUGCAUGAGGAGGUGCUGUGAAUACUAAACAGGAAUCCAGCUGGUGUUUCUAGUGGUGGAUCUCUACUUAAGGAGGAAGACUCAGUUAUAGAAGAGAAGAAUGAAGACUUGAUUGAGGACCCAAAGGAUGACCAAGAAGAGGUACAGGAGAAAACCCAGAAUUCUGCAGGGUCUUGGCGAUGCAAGUGUCAGAGCCAUUUGAACCAGAGCUACUCCAUCUUGAGUGAGGGCUAAGAAAACUGAGGCUGGGACUUGCUGGGCUGCAUUCCCAGGAGGGUAAGUAUUCCUAGCCUCUAGGUUAACGGAACAGAUUAAUAACGUUUACUAACAGACCCAGACUCAGGAAUGUCCUGAUAUCCUGAUGUCUUAAAAACAAAAGCACUCCUAAUUUUGCUUUAAAGAUAAAUAUCGAUCCUUGCAAAAUAUAGUAAUUAAGAAAACUAAUUGUUUAAAUCACAAACCUUUGUAGUAGAGCAAAUCUCCCCAUUUUUUUGUUAUCCUAUAUAUAAAUAAGCAUUGUACCUAGGGGUAGGCGCGUUCCUCCUCUUACUUUCAGGAACGCCCUACUCUGUCUAUAGAGUAGCUAUUCCUUCACCACUUUACUUCCUUAAUAAAUUUGCUUUUGCUUUGCACUGUGGACUUGCCCCAAAUUCUUUCUUCGGUGAGAUCCAAGAACCCUCUCUUGGGGUCUGGAUCAGGAGCUCUUUCUGGUAACAUAAGAAAAGAAAGAGAAAUUCAUGAAGGAGAGGGUGGUCUACUGUGUGAAAUGCCAAUGAGAGAUUAAG
rnacentral:lncRNA from 1 species